GAAUCUAUUUAGAUCUUAUUCUACAUAAACAUUUCACAUUUUCUAAGAUAUGGCUAUGUUAUGCAUAUUUCGAAAUGUAACAAAAAAUUUGACUGUAGCGAGAAAAACAUUAAUAUGGUAUUGGGUGUUUAUCCCAAAGACAAAUUGUUCCGUGGUUACAAUGAUUUAGAGGUACAAUCUAGAAAAUUUGACAGAUGCAGGAUUCUGUAUGAAAAAUUAUUUGAAUUGCACUUCAAAACUGCACAAUGUGAAUGAAAUUUGGAUAUACCUGAACUUUUAUGGAAGUCAUAUAUGGAUUUUAAAAUAUCUCAGGAUGUAAUAGAAAAUACCAAACAACUAUUAGAGGGAUUAUUAGAACGAAAUGUUCAUGUCAAAUUCGUAGAAUUUUUGAACGUGGGAAUUGUGCAUUAUUUGCAAACAGUGACAAAGAAAGGAGAAUAUUACUUUUGGGAGCAUGGAGAGAUUUUGAAAAUGAGAAAGGAGACAAAUAGAGUUAGAUUAAAAUUAAUCUAGAUCAAAAUGCCUAGAAGAAUUAAACGAAGAAGACGAAUGAUUGAAGAAGGAUCAGUGUCUCCAGAAUCCGGUUCGAAGGACUAAAAUGUUUUGUGUUGCGUCGGGUGGUCGCAGCUACGAGAGCGAUUUUAGAUGUGCGUCCCGCAUUGGAUCAACUAUAACAAUCGAUUUGCACAGAGAAAUAUUUUCCGUCUGUCCGAACUACAGACCCACUGGUCGCGAUGAAUAAGAGCGGCGGCACUAUGCAAGGAUACCAUUGGAGACCGUCAGCAAAAUACUGCUUGUCGCGUUCCCGCAAAUUAAUGGGGAAACGCACGUUCUUUUAAAGGAUCAUGUGAAAUUCGCAAGGUAGAUGCGCGAUAUUAAAUAUCACGCGCAUUGAAGUUGAUUCGAUAUAUAUUUGAUGAAAUAAGUUACAAUUGUUUAUGUGUUUCGUGUAAUGAUUUCGUGUUCUGAAUAAGACUUGACAGCUUAGAUGUCGUGAGUCUAAAAGAUGUAACUUACCUGAUUUUUUGGAAGUCUAGAACUAUCCAUACAGACUGUAAUGAGAUCACAGAGAAUAAAAAGGGCGGAGUUAAAGUAUGAUUUGAGCAUGGAAAGGGAAAGAAUAAAUGUCCAUUGGUCGUAGAUAGUUCAAUGAAAUGUUUAAAUAUUCCAUGUGUGCCCCCUUUGUUCUAAUGAUCAUGUAGAUUGCAGAGUGUCAAUAGAUAUUUUAAAGCUAGAAGCCAAAUAAACCUUGACUUGUCGCGCCUAGGAGUCUACUUUCACUAUUUACUUAUUGGCCGGUUUGACAUAUUAUCGAAAUCCAGAUAUUUUACUAAGAAGCCCAGACAAAGAUGGCCAUAUGUUUUUUAUCUAUGCGUUUUGUUAGCUAAUAUCUAAUAAUUUCCGAAGAGUAAAGAUUUCCGAUGGUGAUACAUGACCUUUAAGAGAAAGUACUGUGAACAAUGGAGAGAUACACGUAUGCGUCAAUACCACUGCCUCAGUGACGUGUAAAAGAUUCUUUACUUGGUACAUAUAUCUGUCAGAUUAUUAAUUAGUUAAAUUAAAAUUAAACAUGCCCAAUUAAUUAAUUCUUUACUUGGCAAUUUUUUAUUAAUUUUAAGAUGCCACGCACUACUAGAAUUCAUACUAAUAAUAGUACCUUUGCUUUAAGUUUAAUAUAAACCGUAGGUUCACUUUUGUCACUUACAAUUUUAGUUAUAUAAAAAUUAUAUAAUUUGGUUGUAUUAUUAUGUACGUCCAAUAUCAAAUUGGUUAUAUGCAACACAAUACAUUUCCAAUUAUAUUUCAUGUAAAAUACUAAUUGUUCUUAUAUCCUAUACGUUGUUUCGUUUUAUCACUACAACAAUAUAUGCGAUUUGUAUACUUUUUAUGGAAACCAAAAAUAUAAAACGACUCUUUGUAAAUAUCUUUUUGUUAAUCCAUGUUAUUAUACAAAGGUAGAUCGUUUACAGUAACAGCAGUUUGAAUAUUUUGUCGCUAUAUGAUGGUGGAAUAAUUUUUAUUUAAACGGAGAUACUGGAGCUACUAUAAUUACGUACUACAUUUAUGUGGCAUUUUAUUUUUUCAACUAAUAUUGGAUUUUAUUAGGGAUCAUGAUAAGCUUUCCAUGCAUGCUGUUGUUCUCAUCGCCGAUCAAUUUUGUAUAUUUCAAACCAUGCAUUUCAACGCUACAAUGAAAAUUCUACUGUAGUAUCAAUAAAUAAACAUUUUUGAAAUAUUCAUGAUUGCGGAAGGCUGUUUGUGUACGGUUUAUUCAAUCGCAGUAAUAUUUGUAUCAAGUAUCAAUUUGAUCAAUAUAUAAAUGUUUUUUAAUCAUAAA